rnacentral:misc_RNA from 1 species
GUAGGUGAACCUGCGGAAGGAUCAUUAACACGUAUCCAACGUUAAACAACCCUGUGAACUUUCAGCCUGCUCUUGCAUCCCAUGAGGAACAGCAAUCCCGGUAAAUCAUUGCCAAACAGUUUUGAUUCGGGACCUCUGUCCAAAGGAGUGUGCAAUUGAGCGGUAGAGGCAGUGGCAUGGCUUCCCCAAGUAGUCAGUGAAUGACAGUGUCACUGGCUGCGUAAGGAUAACGCCUCACGGUUGCUGGAGG